CACAUGUGAAAACAGUGUUUCUACAUGGUAAACACUAUGUGUAUUUGGAUUUUAUUUUGUACAUUGAUAAUGAGUUAUAAGUUGGAGAAGUCUACAGCACUGAUUUGUCAUGGGCGCAGUGGUUUGGAAUGCUGUAGCGGAUUUGUUGGAAUCGUUCUGAAUGAGACAGUCCAUAACUGCACGCCUUGCAAGAAUGGAUUUUAUGGCUACAACUGUAGGUUUAAAUGCCCUCCUCCAUCUUUCGGCCUGAGAUGUCAGUCGGCGUGUCAUUGUUCUAAUGAAAGUUGUCAUUAUGUUUUUGGCUGCAAAAAA